GGAUAAACGCUGGCGGCGUGCCUAAUACAUGCAAGUCGAACGCUUAAUAUCCAGCUUGCUGGAUAGAGAGAACGGGUGAGUAAUACAUAAGCAACCUGCCUACAAGGACUGGGAUAACUUCUGGAAACGGAUGCUAAUACCGGAUAGGUAAUAGGAAGACAUCUUCUUAUUAUUAAAGGUUAAAAACACAAGUAGAUGGGCUUAUGGCGGAUUAGUUAGUUGGUGAGGUAACGGCCCACCAAGACGAUGAUGCGUAGCCGGCCUGAGAGGGUGAACGGCCACAUUGGGACUGAGACACGGCCCAAACUCCUACGGGAGGCAGCAGUAGGGAAUUUUCGGCAAUGGGCGCAAGCCUGACCGAGCAACGCCGCGUGAGUGAUGAAGGUUUUCGGAUUGUAAAGCUCUGUUGUAAGGGAAGAACGUCUUGGAGAGAAUCCAGGAGUGACGGUACCUUACCAGAAAGCCACGGCUAACUACGUGCCAGCAGCCGCGGUAAUACGUAGGUGGCAAGCGUUAUCCGUGGGCGUAAAGGGUGCGUAGGCGGUUAGUUAAGUUUAUGGUGAAAGCGUGGGGCUCAACCCCAUACAGCCAUAGAUACUGGCUAGCUAGAGUACAGGAGAGGGCAGUGGAAUUCCAUGUGUAGCGGUAAAAUGCGUAGAUAUAUGGAGGAACACCAGUGGCGAAGG
rnacentral:rRNA from 1 species